CCUUUCGAUGGUAGUGUAUUGGACUACCAUGGCAGUAACGGGUAACGAAGAAUUAGGGUUCGAUUUCGGAGAGGGAGCAUGAGAAACGGCUACCACAUCUAAGGAAGGCAGCAGGCGCGUAAAUUACCCAAUCCUGACUCAGGGAGGUAGUGACAAGAAAUAGCAAACCGGGAACCUCAUGGUUUCACGGUAUUGCAAUGAGAACAAUUUAAAACCCUUAGCGAGAAUCAAGUGGAGGACAAGUCUGGUGCCAGCACCCGCGGUAAUUCCAGCUCCACUAGCGUAUAUUAAAGUUGUUGCAGUUAAAAAGCUCGUAGUUGAACCUCUGUCUGGGGCUAGUUUUGGCUUUGGUCAGGCUAGUUCUAGGCAUCCGCCUACAAGACUUAGAGGGCAUUCAGUUGUUCACUAGGAGGAGUAGGCAUUUUACUUUGAAAAAAUUAGAGUGUUUAAGGCAGGCAAUCGCCCGCAUAUAUUAGCAUGGAAUAAUAGAAUAGGACACUUUUCCAUUUCGUUGGUUAUUGGAAUCGUGUAAUGAUUAAUAGGGACAGUUGUGGGCAUUUGUAUUUAAUUGUCAGAGGUGAAAUUCUUGGAUUUAUUAAAGACAAACUAACGCGAAAGCAUUUGCCAAGGAUGUUUUCAUUAAUCAAGAACGAAAGUUAGGGGAUCAAAGACGAUCAGAUACCGUCCUAGUCUUAACUAUAAACUAUUCCGACUCAAUGUUUGACUGGCUUAUAUAACCAGUUGAGCGUUGUAUGAGAAACCAAAGUCUUUAGGUUCUGGGGGGAGUAUGGUUGCAAAGCUGAAACUUAAAGGAAUUGAUGGAAGAGCACAACCAGGAGUGGAUUCUGCGGCUUAAUUUGACUCAACACGGGGAAACUUACCAGGUUAAAACAAUAGUGGGAUUGACAGUUUGAGAGCGCUUUCUUGAUUGGUUGGGUGGUGGUGCAUGGCCGUUCUUAGUUGGUGGAGUGAUUUGUCUGCUUAAUUGCGUUAACGAACGAGACCUUAACCUGCUUACUAGACUGGCGAUCAUCAAUCGUUAGCUCUUCUUAGAGGGACUUUGGUUGUUUUAACUCCAAGGAAGUUUGAGGCAAUAACAGGUCUGUGAUGCCCUUAGAUAUCCUGGGCCGCACGCGUCAUACAAUGACUAGUUCAGAAAGUUUUCUCCUGACCCGAAAGGGGAUGGGUAAUCUUGAUAAUACUAGUCGUGUUAGGGAUCGAUCUUUGCAAUUAUAGAUCUUGAACGAGGAAUUCCUAGUAAGUGCGGUUCAUCAGACCGUACUGAUUACGUCCCUGCUCUUUGUACACACCGCCCGUCGCUUCUACCGAGUGGGUGGUCCGGUGAGAUAAUUGAAC
rnacentral:rRNA from 1 species